AACGAACGCUGGCGGCAGGCUUAACACAUGCAAGUCGAACGGGUGUAGCAAUACAUCAGUGGCAGACGGGUGAGUAACACGUGGGAACCUUCCUAGGGGUACGGAACAACUCAGGGAAACUUGAGCUAAUACCGUAUACGUCCGUGAGGAGAAAGAUUUAUCGCCCUUAGACGGGCCCGCGUCGGAUUAGGUAGUUGGUGGGGUAACGGCCUACCAAGCCGACGAUCCGUAGCUGAUCUGAGAGGAUGAUCAGCCACACUGGGACUGAGACACGGCCCAGACUCCUACGGGAGGCAGCAGUGGGGAAUCUUGGACAAUGGGCGCAAGCCUGAUCCAGCCAUGCCGCGUGAGUGAAGAAGGCCUUAGGGUUGUAAAGCUCUUUUGGCAGGGACGAUAAUGACGGUACCUGCAGAAUAAGCCCCGGCAAACUUCGUGCCAGCCGCCGCGGUAAUAC
rnacentral:rRNA from 1 species